rnacentral:tRNA from 3 species
GGAGGGGUGGCCGAGCGGCUGAAGGCGGCGGUUUGCUAAACCGUUAUACUGGGAAACUGGUAUCGAGGGUUCGAAUCCCUUCCCCUCCGCCA